UUCGGGAUGCCGACGAGUGGCAAACGGGUGAGUAACGCGUGGAUACCUGCCCUGUGGUGGGGAAUAACGUCUAGAAAUGGGCGCUAAUACCGCAUAAGCUCUGCGGAGGAAAGAUUUAUCGCCAUGGGAGGGGUCCGCGUCGGAUUAGCUAGUUGGUGGGGUAACGGCCUACCAAGGCGACGAUCCGUAGCUGGUCUGAGAGGAUGAUCAGCCACACUGGGACUGAGACACGGCCCAGACUCCUACGGGAGGCAGCAGUGGGGAAUAUUGCGCAAUGGGGGAAACCCUGACGCAGCGACGCCGCGUGGGUGAAGAAGGCCUUAGGGUUGUAAAGCCCUUUCAGUGGGAAAGAUGAUGACGGUACCCACAGAAGAAGCUCCGGCUAACUCCGUGCCAGCAGCCGCGGUAAUACGGAGGGGGCCAGCGUUGUUCGGAAUUACUGGGCGUAAAGGGCGCGUAGGCGGUUGAUCAAG
rnacentral:rRNA from 1 species